UAGCUGAAAAACACAAAGUCUGGUUUAAACUGCAAGAAAGAUUGAGAAGACAGCACCUUGCAAAGGAAGACAAAAUGGAUUUUGGUUCUGUUCAGGAUGCCGAUAAAAGCCUCCAAAAGAUUGUUGACAGCUUGUAUAGGGAUAACAAAUUCAAGUCGAAUAUGUGUCCUCCUCUUGCUCUCUGCUCCAUCCGUCGCAAUGAUCCAACAGCUAAUAAGACGGAAUAUAUUAUAAAGGCCCUGGUUUCUCAAGAUGGAAAAACCAACUGCACACAUCUCCGCGUUGAUAGUUACGACGAUUUUAAUCGGUUUGUGCGAGAGUCAAGAGAUAAGGCUGUCAUGGAAGCCAUCAACCCAGAUCAGGUUUAAGACUGGACUUGUUAAAUCAUGGAGGAUAUUUUUUUUAUCCCUCUAAUGUUAAAGUAACAAGUACAUUGUGCCUAUUUGGAAUAAAUAAAAGUCUGCCUCAAG